rnacentral:lncRNA from 1 species
ACUGUUCGCUCUCUUCUCCUCCUCGUCAGUGCUCCCUGCUAACCGCAGGUAAGCCGCCUUUUUCGCUUCCACUUUACCAUGGACAACUGCGUUCCACCACCAGUCUACUUCGUGGUCACCGGUGCGUCCCGAAGAUACCCCUAACAUCUCUCUCGCCGCCUUUCUUAUACUGUCUGCCGUCAUCGACCACAUAGGGUUUGCAUCCCCACUACUUCUCCAAGCUCCCAUUGCCGAUAACCUUCCUGCCAACUCCUGAGCUUUAUCCUCAGUCAAGGCGCCCC